rnacentral:rRNA from 1 species
CCGAGGCCGCCUUGCUUAUAAAGGCAAGUCGAGCGACAGACGAGGAGCUUGCUCCUCUGACGUUAGCGGCGGACGGGUGAGUAACACGUGGAUAACCUACCUAUAAGACUGGGAUAACUUCGGGAAACCGGAGCUAAUACCGGAUAAUAUUUUGAACCGCAUGGUUCAAUAGUGAAAGACGGUUUUGCUGUCACUUAUAGAUGGAUCCGCGCCGCAUUAGCUAGUUGGUAAGGUAACGGCUUACCAAGGCAACGAUGCGUAGCCGACCUGAGAGGGUGAUCGGCCACACUGGAACUGAAACACGGUCCAAACUCCUACGGGAGGCAGCAGUAGGGAAUCUUCCGCAAUGGGCGAAAGCCUGACGGAGCAACGCCGCGUGAGUGAUGAAGGUCUUCGGAUCGUAAAACUCUGUUAUUAGGGAAGAACAAACGUGUAAGUAACUGUGCACGUCUUGACGGUACCUAAUCAGAAAGCCACGGCUAACUACGUGCCAGCAGCCGCGGUAAUACGUAGGUGGCAAGCGUUAUCCGGAAUUAUUGGGCGUAAAGCGCGCGUAGGCGGUUUUUUAAGUCUGAUGUGAAAGCCCACGGCUCAACCGUGGAGGGUCAUUGGAAACUGGAAAACUUGAGUGCAGAAGAGGAAAGUGGAAUUCCAUGUGUAGCGGUGAAAUGCGCAAAGAUAUGGAGGAACACCAGUGGCGAAAGGCGACUUUCUGGUUCUGUAACUGACGCUGAUGUGCGAAAGCGUGGGGAUCAAACAUGAUUACAUACCCUGGUAGUUCACGCCGUAAACGAUGAGUGCUAAGUGUUAGGGGGUUUUCCGCCCCUUAUGCUUGCACCUAACGCAUUAAGCACUCCGCCGGGGGAGUACGACCGCCAAGGUUGAAACUCAAGAAUUGACGGGACGAUUCUG